UGACAGAUGAGGACUGGUUUUCUCACGCUGAGAGAGAGAGAGACAGAGCGGGGGGGUGAGAGAGCAGAGCAGUGUAAAAGAGGUGAAGGACCAAAAAAAUAAUCCACACAAAGAGAAUCAAUACGUUCUUCUCUUGUCAAAGGUUAUGGUGGAUCUGGAGCCUAUCCCAGAACACCGGAACACACCCUGAGCAGGAUGCUGGUCAGACCACACACGUGCUCAAACACACCUAUUCCGGCAUGUUUUCGGAAAGUAGGAGGAAACGGGAGAACUCAGAGGAAAUCCACGCGACACAGAGAGAACAUGCCACAGUGACCCAGGCAGCCUGGAGCUGUGAGACAGCAGCACUACCACCAUGCCACCCUUCCACAGUGACACCAGUCCUAAAUAAAGAUUUUGAUUAAUGCUAAUACAAUAAAAUGCAUUAUUUAAAUAGAUUAUAAUCCUAGACAUAAUAAAAUAUGAUCAUUAUGAACUGUAAAGUUGGAAGUCACUCAUUAGAUUGGUGUGUGCGGAAGGUAGCUCAUGUUUUGGAAAUUUUAUUCAGAAAAAAAACAAAGAACAACAUCCUGUUGUAUAUCAGUAUAUCAAGGAAAUACACUAACUGGGGGGAAAAAUAAAGAUCGAAAUCACUUCCUGGAGGAAGUUUCAUCAUUCUGAAGUGUGUUUGGAUUGUAAAAGAUACAAAACGGUGCAAUAAAC
ensembl:lncRNA